GGGCAUCCCUGGUUGGAGAUCCCUAUCUGCCUGAAUCUCUUCCAGGGCCAUUCUGGAUUUCCUUAGGCUAUAAAAACGUUUAAGCCUCUAAACAUAUCAGACCUGUUUUCCUGCAUUCCACAUCUACAGCUUACCUGUACCCUAAAGAACAUAAAGGAAACAGAUAAGUGUCAAGAAGCCUUCAGUGGUACUUCUUCCAUGGAGAAUGUGUGGAAAAAUGCAAAUGCUGUGCACGUGUGAAAGAGAGGCCAGACUCAAAGCUGUUCCUGAAUGUUGAUCCUUAACACUAUCAGAGUGAUAAACUUCUCCUCUUUGUCAGAAAUGUCACCUUAGAGGUGAAGUGAGUAGCAGCUGUGAGUCACAGUGGCAGUGCAGGCUCUGUCGAUGGGAACUUGUUUUCUCACCGUCUGUUCCAUGAGCUGCCAUCCCCCACAGCUCCUCAGACUGCUGUCUGCACGGACCACGCAGUCAGGACUGAACUCAGCUGGGAGUAGUUUUAUGUGUGCCUACUGAGUGAGGGCUGCGCUUCUGGUUUCUGUUGAAAUCCAAACCCAUUUUGUUAGCUUUUCCUUACAGAAGAACAAGAACGCUUGGCCCUCUGUUGGCUUUGCCCUUUUUCACACAAGCUCUUGACAUAGAAGUUUUCUCCUUUGGUCUCUCAGGUCCUUUACUGUGAAUAAUAAUCCAUGUUUCCUGUUUUUAUUAUUAUUAUUUCUUUUCUACACAGGCUUUAAGAGCAGUAGAGCUUUCCCUGUCUGUAGAGCUAAUCUGCAGUGCUGAAAGCUGUGGAUGCUGGUUUGGCUGCCUGUCUGCAAAAGAAAAGGGAGACCUAUCAAUCAACAAGAAAUGCUGAGAGCAGCAAAUGAAACUCUUUGCUUUUUCCAUUGGGCAACAAGGGCCUCUCAGGAUUAAACCUCUUCUAAAUUUAGCUACAUCUCACUAGAGUUAGGAUCAGGAGUUAUCAGAAGGCAAUGACGUCUGUCCUCUGGAAGUCUGAGUCCUGGCAUGCACCUCUCGUACUCUGUGCUGCAGCAGGUUGGAGCUGGGAACAUUCUGCACAGCAUGGGACUCUUCAGACGUGGCAGGAUUUCUCAGAGCACUUGAAAUACAUACUCUCAGCUGCCUGCUUGUGUUUAUUAUUCUGUCCAGGUCCUGAGCAAAACUUGUUCAUGCUCUGAAAUGGACAUCAUGGGAGAGCAGAAUGGUUAAGCCAUGUGAAACAUUCUGCUGCUUUUUUUUGUUGUUGUUGUUCUUAAUAUGUGUAAGACUUGCACAGACCUUCUUUUCUAUUGGUAUUAAAUAUCACAUUCCAAUGCAAC
rnacentral:lncRNA from 7 species